AUGCCUGCUACAGACUCUCCAUCUUCUUCAAACGGUGGUGCUUCUCGAAUCUUUCCUCCAAUCUCAAAUCUUCGUCGCGAACAUUAUCAUCCUCAACGUUCUCUGCAUGUCUCAAGGUGUUCACAUCCUCUCCGAGUCAAUCCGUCGCCAUCAUCUCUCCUCCGAUUCAAACUCCGGCUCCCAUCAAUCGGCCUUCGACACCUCACAGUGACUUCAUCCUCUCCAUUGAUCUCUCUGUUCACCGAUCUUUGUCUGCACCGUUACAAUUCCUUCGAUAGAUACACCUAG